UAGGGAAUCUUCCGCAAUGGGCGAAAGCCUGACGGAGCAACGCCGCGUGAGUGAUGAAGGUCUUCGGAUCGUAAAACUCUGUUAUUAGGGAAGAACAUAUGUGUAAGUAACUGUGCACAUCUUGACGGUACCUAAUCAGAAAGCCACGGCUAACUACGUGCCAGCAGCCGCGGUAAUACGUAGGUGGCAAGCGUUAUCCGGAAUUAUUGGGCGUAAAGCGCGCGUAGGCGGUUUUUUAAGUCUGAUGUGAAAGCCCACGGCUCAACCGUGGAGGGUCAUUGGAAACUGGAAAACUUGAGUGCAGAAGAGGAAAGUGGAAUUCCAUGUGUAGCGGUGAAAUGCGCAGAGAUAUGGAGGAACACCAGUGGCGAAGGCGACUUUCUGGUCUGUAACUGACGCUGAUGUGCGAAAGCGUGGGGAUCAAACAGGAUUAGAUACCCUGGUAGUCCACGCCGUAAACGAUGAGUGCUAAGUGUUAGGGGGUUUCCGCCCCUUAGUGCUGCAGCUAACGCAUUAAGCACUCCGCCUGGGGAGUACGGCCGCAAGGUUG
rnacentral:rRNA from 1 species